rnacentral:rRNA from 1 species
GAUGAACGCUGGCGGCGUGCCUAAUACAUGCAAGUCGAGCGAACAGACGAGGGGCUUGCUCCUCUGACGUUAGCGGCGGACGGGUGAGUAACACGUGGAUAACCUACCUAUAAGACUGGGAUAACUUCGGGAAACCGGAGCUAAUACCGGAUAAUAUAUUGAACCGCAUGGUUCAAUAGUGAAAGACGGUUUUGCUGUCACUUAUAGAUGGAUCCGCGCCGCAUUAGCUAGUUGGUAAGGUAACGGCUUACCAAGGCAACGAAGCGUAGCCGACCUGAGAGGGUGAUCGGCCACACUGGAACUGAGACACGGUCCAGACUCCUACGGGAGGCAGCAGUAGGGAAUCUUCCGCAAUGGGCGAAAGCCUGACGGAGCAACGCCGCGUGAGUGAUGAAGGUCUUCGGAUCGUAAAACUCUGUUAUUAGGGAAGAACAAAUGUGUAAGUAACUAUGCACGUCUUGACGGUACCUAAUCAGAAAGCCACGGCUAACUACGUG